rnacentral:rRNA from 1 species
UACGUAGGUUGCAAGCGUUGUCCGGAUUUAUUGGGUUUAAAGGGUGCGUAGGUGGCUGAUUAAGUCAUGGGUGAAAGCCCGCAGCUCAACUGUGGAAUUGCCUGUGAUACUGAUUAGCUUGAGUGCGGUUGAGGCAGCUGGAAUUGAUGGUGUAGCGGUGAAAUGCAUAGAUACCACCAGGAACACCGAUUGCGAAGGCAGGUUGCUAAGCCGUAACUGACACUGGGGCACGAAAGCGUGGGGAGCAAACAGG